GGCCGAGACCCAGAGAAGGUCAGGGUCUUGCCCUGAUCUAGGCAAAGAGGUACCUGCAUCGUCCACCUCGGACACAGGGAUCUCUCUGGUCUUCUCCUGGCUGGCUCUCCUGCUCUGCUCAGUCUGAAGCCAGAAGCCGUCAUCUUGGCAAAGACUUCCUGGUUUUGCUGGGCUCCCUCCUGUCUUCAGCACCAUCUCGUCCAAGGACAUUCUUCAGUGCCGUGCGGGUAAGGGACGCCAUGUGACAGCUGCAUCUUGCCGAAGGUCCCGGUCCCUGACCCGAGGUGCACUUGCUCUAUCAUGACCUGCAAUGCUGACACCUUCUGAAGAAACAAGCCGGAGUCCAUCAUGUCGUCAACCGCCCUGUGCUGUGCAUCCGCCGCAUGCGUGCGCUUGCGCAGUGCAUCUUAGGCAACGCCGCUCUUGAGCAGGCGCAAAUACAGGGCCCCGCCCUUCGUUUCCAGGGUCACGCACAAGGCUUCUUCUUCCCACCCAACUACGCACCCGGUCCCGCCCCGAGCCUUUCCGCUCGACCCAGUGUGCGACACAAUAAAAGCAAGAAGGACACCGAAAAGGA